GACGAACGCUGGCGGCGUGCCUAAUACAUGCAAGUUGAGCGCUGAAGGUUGGUACUUGUACCAACUGGAUGAGCAGCGCACGGGUGAGUAACGCGUGGGGAAUCUGCCUUUGAGCGGGGGACAACAUUUGGAAACGAAUGCUAAUACCGCAUAAAAACUUUAAACACAAGUUUUAAGUUUGAAAGAUGCAAUUGCAUCACUCAAAGAUGAUCCCGCGUUGUAUUAGCUAGUUGGUGAGGUAAAGGCUCACCAAGGCGAUGAUACAUAGCCGACCUGAGAGGGGGAUCGGCCACAUUGGGACUGAGACACGGCCCAAACUCCUACGGGAGGCAGCAGUAGGGAAUCUUCGGCAAUGGACGAAAGUCUGACCGAGCAACGCCGCGUGAGUGAAGAAGGUUUUCGGAUCGUAAAACUCUGUUGGUAGAGAAGAACGUUGGUGAGAGUGGAAAGCUCAUCAAGUGACGGUAACUACCCAGAAAGGGACGGCUAACUACGUG
rnacentral:rRNA from 1 species